ACCUGACUGCUAUCGGAUUGAUACUAAGCCAUGCGAGUCGUUGUAGCAAUACAAGGCAUACGGCUCAGUAACGCGUAGUCAACCUAACCUAUGGACGGGAAUAACCUCGGGAAACUGAGAAUAAUGCCCGAUAGAACAUUAUGCCUGGAAUGGUUUAUGUUCCAAAUGAUUUAUCGCCAUAGGAUGGGACUGCGGCCUAUCAGUUUGUUGGUGAGGUAAUGGCCCACCAAGACUAUUACAGGUACGGGCUCUGAGAGGAGUAGCCCGGAGAUGGGUACUGAGACACGGACCCAGGCCCUAUGGGGCGCAGCAGGCGAGAAAACUUUGCAAUGUGCGAAAGCACGACAAGGUUAAUCCGAGUGAUUUCUGCUAAAGAGAUCUUUUGUUAGUCCUAGAAACACUAACGAAUAAGGGGUGGGCAAGUUCUGGUGUCAGCCGCCGCGGUAAAACCAGCACCUCAAGUGGUCAGGAUGAUUAUUGGGCCUAAAGCAUCCGUAGCCGGCUCUGUAAGUUUUCGGUUAAAUCUGUACGCUCAACGUACAGGCUGCCGGAAAUACUGCAGAACUAGGGAGUGGGAGAGGUAGACGGUACUCGGUAGGAAGUGGUAAAAUGCUUUGAUCUAUCGAUGACCACCUGUGGCGAAGGCGGUCUACCAGAACACGUCCGACGGUGAGGGAUGAAAGCUGGGGGAGCAAACCGGAUUAGAUACCCGGGUAGUCCCAGCUGUAAACUAUGCAAACUCAGUGAUGCAUUGGCUUGUGGCCAAUGCAGUGCUGCAGGGAAGCCGUUAAGUUUGCCGCCUGGGAAGUACGUACGCAAGUAUGAAACUUAAAGGAAUUGGCGGGGGAGCACCACAAGGGGUGAAGCCUGCGGUUCAAUUGGAUUCAACGCCGGG
rnacentral:rRNA from 1 species